AUUGAACGCUGGCGGCAUGCCUUACACAUGCAAGUCGAACGGUAACAGGUCUUCGGAUGCUGACGAGUGGCGAACGGGUGAGUAAUACAUCGGAACGUGCCUAGUAGUGGGGGAUAACUACUCGAAAGAGUGGCUAAUACCGCAUGAGAUCUACGGAUGAAAGCAGGGGAUCGCAAGACCUUGUGCUACUAGAGCGGCCGAUGGCAGAUUAGGUAGUUGGUGGGAUAAAAGCUUACCAAGCCGACGAUCUGUAGCUGGUCUGAGAGGACGAUCAGCCACACUGGGACUGAGACACGGCCCAGACUCAUACGGGAGGCAGCAGUGGGGAAUUUUGGACAAUGUGCGCAAGCCUGAUCCAGCAAUGCCGCGUGCAGGAUGAAGGCCUUCGGGUUGUAAACUGCUUUUGUACGGAACGAAAAGCCCUGGGUUAAUACCCUGGGGUCAUGACGGUACCGUAAGAAUAAGCACCGGCUAACUACGUGCCAGCCGCCGCAGUAAUAC
rnacentral:rRNA from 1 species